UCUACGGGGCGCAGCAGUGGGGAAUAUUGGACAAUGGGCGAAAGCCUGAUCCAGCCAUGCCGCGUGUGUGAAGAAGGCCUUCGGGUUGUAAAGCACUUUCAGUGGGGAAGAAAGCCUUGGGGCUAAUACCCUCGAGGAAGGACAUCACCCACAGAAGAAGCACCGGCUAACUCCGUGCCAGCAGCCGCGGUAAUACGGAGGGUGCGAGCGUUAAUCGGAAUUACUGGGCGUAAAGCGCGCGUAGGCGGUCUGAUAAGCCGGUUGUGAAAGCCCCGGGCUCAACCUGGGAACGGCAUCCGGAACUGUCAGGCUAGAGUGCAGGAGAGGAAGGUAGAAUUCCCGGUGUAGCGGUGAAAUGCGUAGAGAUCGGGAGGAAUACCAGUGGCGAAGGCGGCCUUCUGGACUGACACUGACGCUGAGGUGCGAAAGCGUGGGUAGCAAACAGGAUUAGAUACCCUAGUAGUC
rnacentral:rRNA from 1 species